rnacentral:RNase_P_RNA from 1 species
UGAGUCGGUCGGGUGGUCGCGGCCGGGCACAGACCCGGUCGAGGAAGGUCGGGACUCCACAGGGCAGGGUGCUGGCUAACGGCCAGUCGAGGUGACUCGAAGGAAAGUGCAACAGAAAGCAGACCGCCGAUGGGGAGGGACCGGCCCGCCGGCCUCUCACAGGCAAGGGUGCAACGGUGCGGUAAGAGCGCACCAGCGUCCGGGGUGACCCGGGCGGCUAUGUAAACCCCACCCGGAGCAAGGUCAAACGUGGGACGGCCGGCCCGGCCGAUGUCCCCAGGUGGACCGCUCAGAUGGAUGACCACCCGCCGGCUCCGGCCGGCGAACAGAAUCCCGCCUACAGACCGGCUCACCGU